AUUACUUCUCGGCCUUUUGGCUAAGAUCAAGUGUAAAUAUGUACUUUUUGUCAUGACAUACCAAUUAUUACCAUAUUGUCUCUCAAGUAAAAGUUUUUUUUCCUUAAAUAAAGGGUAAUACCUUUUUCCCCCUGUGGUGCUGCUUGGCCUGCAGGUCUGUGUAGGGCUGCGGACACGGGUCUAUAU